rnacentral:rRNA from 1 species
CCUAUAAAAGUGUGUGCUUUCGCUUACACAUACAGAGUGGACUGCGCCAUAGCUAGUGUAGUAAUCGCUCACCCAAGCACGAUGCGUAGCGACCUUGAGAAGGGGUGAUCGCCACAUGGACUGAGAACACGCCCAGACUCCUACGGGAGGCAGCAGUAGGGAAUCUCCGCCAAUGACGAAAGUCGACGAGCAACGCCGCUGAGUGAUGAAGUUUCGAUCGUAAGCUCUGUGUUAGGGAAGAACAAGUGCCGUCAAAUAGGGCGGCACCUUGACGGUACCUAACCAGAAAGCCACGGCUAACUACGUGCCAGCAGCCGCGGUAAUACGUAGGUGGCAAGCGUUGUCCGGGAAUUAUUGGGCGUAAAGGGCUCGCAGGCGGUUUCUUAAGUCUGAUGUGAAAGCCCCCGGCUCAACCGGGGAGGGUCAUUGGAAACUGGGGAACUUGAGUGCAGAAGAGGAGAGUGGAAUUCCACGUGUAGCGGUGAAAUGCGUAGAGAUGUGGAGGAACACCAGUGGCGAAGGCGACUCUCUGGUCUGUAACUGACGCUGAGGAGCGAAAGCGUGGGGAGCGAACAGGAUUAGAUACCCUGGUAGUCCACGCCGUAAACGAUGAGUGCUAAGUGUUAGGGGGUUUCCGCCCCUUAGUGCUGCAGCUAACGCAUUAAGCACUCCGCCUGGGGAGUACGGUCGCAAGACUGAAACUCAAAGGAAUUGACGGGGGCCCGCACAAGCGGUGGAGCAUGUGGUUUAAUUCGAAGCAACGCGAAGAACCUUACCAGGUCUUGACAUCCUCUGACACCCCUAGAGAUAGGGCUUCCCCUUCGGGGGCAGAGUGACAGGUGGUGCAUGGUUGUCGUCAGCUCGUGUCGUGAGAUGUUGGGUUAAGUCCCGCAACGAGCGCAACCCUUGAUCUUAGUUGCCAGCAUUCAGUUGGGCACUCUAAGGUGACUGCCGGUGACAAACCGGAGGAAGGUGGGGAUGACGUCAAAUCAUCAUGCCCCUUAUGACCUGGGCUACACACGUGCUACAAUGGACAGAACAAAGGGCAGCGAGACCGCGAGGUUAAGCCAAUCCCACAAAUCUGUUCUCAGUUCGGAUCGCAGUCUGCAACUCGACUGCGUGAAGCUGGAAUCGCUAGUAAUCGCGGAUCAGCAUGCCGCGGUGAAUACGUUCCCGGGCCUUGUACACACCGCCCGUCACACCACGAGAGUUUGUAACACCCGAAGUCGGUGAGGUAACCUUUAUGGAGCCAGCCGCCGAAGGUGGACAAAG